AUCCAUGGAUGGAAGGAUAAGUUUUUCUUCAUAGCUGCCGACCAUCCUUGGGGCUUUGACUAGAACUAGACCACUCCUAAUCUUUCUCUGAAUAAAAAUGAUGUGGUUCUGGAAAAAGAUCAAAAACUGUACGAUCGAUUGUUCGACGUCCAAGUUCUCCCACAGCGGGAGCUCCUCGAGAAGCAAUCAUUGUAUGGCAUCAGGAUAAGCCUGACCAAUCAUUUAGGUAGAUUUCUUGUGUAGAUCUGUGAAGUUCUUCUUUCUUUCUUUUAUUGUAGACUAACACAUCUUUUGUUGUUGUCUUGUAGGCAUGAGGAUCUCGGUUGAAUCCCUCCAGCGUGCUGUUAAGAAAAAGUCAGGAUCCAGGCCUGGCGGUCCUUAUCGGGGUCUCCCAAAGAAGCUAAGAGAAGGAUCUCUUCCUCGGAUACUGAGGAGUAUGCAGCCACCAUCACCGCCCCGACCACCGCCAAAGCGAUCUUCAUCGCCGCCUCCUAUCAAAGUCAUCCCUACCGACAAUGAUGUUGUCAUCGUCGAGGCCCCGACCAAGCUCAUCAGCACAGUCCAAGCUUUGCCGACUCAAUUCAAGUUGGGUGGCAAUUGAGUAGCUGGUCGGGGAGACACCGACAAGGGGAAAGCUCCGAUGCCCCCACACCUUCACCACCGACUAUGGUCUCUCGAAUUCUUCUGGGGAGACCUUCAUCACCCUCAAAAUUUGCAUCAAGACAACCGACCAAGUGCGCUGAGAACAUCGACUUGUCGGAGAGUUGAUAAAAAUGGUGAUGUUGCCCAUCGAUUGGGAAGCUAGGAAGGCCCAUCCAGUUACGAAGAUCAUCUCGAGCUCCUAUGCAUUGCUGAUGUCGAUAAGUUUUUGACCUUUUUACUCAGUGUUGAGUCAUUUUUCUUUUACCGACUAGUUAUAGUUGUUGAGUAGGUGACUUAAUCGAUUUUUCUUCCUUUCUUAGUUGGCUCAUGACGCAAUAAUUUUGUAUGAGGGAUUGAUCAUUUUUGCAUGGCUCAACACCCAGCUUGAAGAUAAGGCCCAGACUGCUCAUGCUCGGACUGAAGUCGUCGGAGAACUUCUCCAUGUUGUCGAGCAGCAGGAUAAGAAAUACCAAGAGAAGAUCGCUCUAUUGGAGGCCAAAUUGAUGUCGGCUUAGCAAAAAAAGGAGAAGGAGGAAUCGAACAAGCUGAGGGCCGACUUCCAGAAGAAGUCCGAGUCAGCAAAGGUUGCCCUCAACAAGGAUAAGCGCAAAAGGCAGGAAGCUAAGAAAGCCAUCCGAGAGCUAAAAAAAAUUAUUGGCAAUAGAAACUCGAGCCCAGGAGGUAGCUUCUCAGACACUGAUCGAGUUUUGAGAAUCUUAAGAAUAUGAGGAUGAGCUUGCCGAAGGCUCGCAGAUGCCUAUCGACUCAAGUUUGAGGACUGUAAGAAGGCCAUCAGCCAAAUGCAACCCAAGCUAGACCUGAGCGAGCUACAACUAGAUAACCUCCAAGACGAGGAAGGCCCAGGGAGUGAUGAGGAAGCAGGCACCGGGGAAGUCCAUCCUCCAUCUUCUUAGACUUUUGUAUUCUUUUUUUUGUCUUGUACUUUUAUUUUCAUUCCUCAGCUUUGUAAUGAACUCCUCGUUUAAAUAAAAUGAUCUUCUUUUGCUUUUCAAUUCCAUCUCCCAUGUGUCCGUCUGUGAGUUUGCAUAUCUUCCUUUUUUGCUUGUCUCUGCAAAAUGACUAAGUAGUCAGAGAAACUGAGUCAGAUAAUCAAAAGGAAGUUGCAAACCAAGAAGAUUCACUUGAAAAAUUUUCUAGGUCAAGUAGUCGGUUUCUAUAGGAAACUUAGUCGAAUUUGAGAUGUAGUUGUAGAUCAUUCCGUCAAAUUAGAACUUAGUCAUAGAUCGUUCCAUUGAAUCGAAACUUAGUCGGUUAGAGAAAAUUUUUCUAUUCUAUUUCAGAUCAUUCGAUCCUUAGACAGUCGGAUGCAAACCGACUAACUACUUUAUUGUACGCUUUGGCCUGC
rnacentral:lncRNA from 1 species